rnacentral:rRNA from 1 species
AUUGAACGCUGGCGGCAGUCUUAACACAUGCAAGUCGAGCGAGCGGCGGACGGGUGAGUAAUGUCUGGGAAACUGCCUGAUGGAGGGGGAUAACUACUGGAAACGGUAGCUAAUACCGCACACCAUCAGAUGUGCCCAGAUGGGAUUAGCUAGUUGGUGGGGUAAUGGCACACCUGGGCGACGAUCCCUAGCUGGUCUGAGAGGAUGACCAGCAACACUGGAACUGAGACACGUCCCAGACUCCUACGGGAGGCGGCAGGGGGGAAUAUUGCACAAUGGGCGCAAGCCUGAUGCAGCAAGGCCGCGUGAGUGAAGAAGGUCUUCGGGAUGUAAAGCACGUUCAGCGAGGAGGCGUUACUCACAGAGGAAGCACCGGCUAACUCCGUGCCAGCAGCCGCGGUAAUAC